UUUGUCAUUUGGUCGUUCUUGAUUUAAAUUGAUUAAAAAUGGUUGUGAUAUGUAUGGUCUGCAACAAAACAUUUUGCAAACAAUAUAGCUUAAACAGAUAUAAUAGAAAAAUACAUCAUUUGGCACCGAAACAUGUUGUUUAUGAUCAGUCGGAGUAUAUGUAUAAAUGUGUAAAAAAAGAUUGUGGUAGUUCUUUUCGGUGGAAUAUUGGGUUGAGAGCUCAUACUGAAAAACAUAACAACAGGUUUUGUAUUCAGAAAAUGGAACUUUCUAGUCAACAAGAGUUCAAGGCCUGGAAAGAGUCAAUGGAAAAAUAUAGGAAAACCCGCUAUGGUCAUAAAUCUGAGUUACAGCAUUUCAGACUUCUACAGCAAGAUAAAGCAAUGGUAGCUUCCAAACUUAUUUUGGGAGUUCCAGCAUCAAGGUAUGCCAUUUAAAUUACUCACCAACAAUAAAAUCUGUACAACUGAAAGUUAGGUAAUUUUAAUAUUUGUCGUUUUUAAGGAUUCUAGAUUUAGAAUUUAGAA